rnacentral:rRNA from 1 species
GAUCAUGGCUCAGGACGAACGCUGGCGGCGCGCCUAACACAUGCAAGUCGAACGGGGUCAAGAGGAGCUUGCUUUUCUUGACUUAGUGGCGAACGGGUGAGUAACGCGUGAGUAACCUGCCCUGGAGUGGGGGACAACAGUUGGAAACGACUGCUAAUACCGCAUAAGCCCACGGCCCGGCAUCGGGCUGAGGGAAAAGGAUUUAUUCGCUUCAGGAUGGACUCGCGUCCAAUUAGCUAGUUGGUGAGG